GCCUCUGUGGUGUAGUGGUAGAACGCGUCCCCGGUAUGGAUGAAACGAGAGUUCAACUCCCGCCUGAGGUC